CCAUUGCUCAGUUGGUAAAGCACAAGGAUUUUAACCUUGUGGACGUGGGUUCUAGCCCCAUGGUGGG
rfam:Triticum aestivum genome assembly, contig: Triticum_aestivum_CS42_TGACv1_scaffold_513349_6BS